GCAGAACGCUCGGUUUGUGCGUGAGUCCCUGUGACUGUGUAUUUGCGCGCGGGCUUGUGACUGUCCCUUGGGGCAGGAGAACAUCUGAAUAUUUCAAACCUACAGAAGCGGACUGAAUACCAUCUUCCUCAGCAUGGGCUCUCCUGGCUAUUCCACUGGCCAUCCAUUUCACCCUCCAGCCAACUGCUCCUCUUGUGACACCCACCCCACCAGUAGCAGGUCCCAUCAUGGCAAUCUGCUGUUAGAGUCUGGAGGUGGGGAUUGCUUUGGUGGUUUUCCUGGAGACAGGAUUCUAUAUUAUGGAGAGCUAGAAAUGCAUAAAUUUGGGUUCCAGCUCUGCCCGCUGAUCAGCAGAGACCCCAAACAUGUCAUCUACUCUCUGCAGGUGGUCAUUAGGCUCUCAGUGCUUGUGGCUGAGGUGGCUUCAGGAGAGUGGGGGGCAGGGAGCGAAAAGAAAAAGGGGGGCAAGAAGAAAUCAUCUGAGAUGGAUGAUGGACAGCCAGAUGGACGGAUGCUUAGCAGGGGGCUGCCUUUCUCCUGGAACCCGCCUGGCGCUGCCUGCCCAGUCCAGCUCUUCGGAUCCCCAUCUUCCCCCAGCUGUGGUCACUUUAACACUGGCGGGAUGUCUGGUUUUAAUGUGAGGAGCAUCUCGAAAUAGGAGCAGGUUUGGUUUCCACAAUGGAGCACAGACUUCUGCUGGAGUUAUCCAGAUCCCAGGGGAUCAUUAGACAGCUCUGGCUGCCCGUAACCCUGAUUAGAAGUGACUUGAGGUUGGGGAAGCCGGUUGGAACAAAAGGCUGGAUGGUCAUGAUGCAUGAAAACUUCUCCUAAGGACUCAGAAAGACAGAGUCUUCUGGAAAGCAAAGCCGGCGACUGAGCAGCAAGGGAUCCUAAAGGUGUUAAGGACUCCACCCUCCACCUAGGAGAGGAUGCCUGUGGCAUUUGAGCAAGGUAAGCUUGGCAAGGAGGUAUACCAUCUUGGGACAACCUGAAGACUUAGUUAUCAUCGCUCUUGAUGGCCAGGGUGGUGAGGGAUUGGCCUGGAACAAGCUCCUCCCCUCAGUCUCUAAGAGUUCAACAGCCUCUGCUGAAUACUCAGAUCCCACAAGGCCAUAGGAGUGAUUGGAUGAUGGCUCAGUCAUGUACUGUCUGUUCAUGUGUCAUGCAUUCAUCCAUGCAUGUAUCCAUGCAUCAACCAUCCAUGCAUCCAUUCACCCACCCACCCAUCCAUUCACCCACCCAUCCAUCUAUGCACCCAUCCAUUCAUCCAUUCAUUCAUCCAUCCACCCAUCCAUCCAUCCAUCCAUCCAUCCAUCCACCCAUCCAUCCAUCCAUCCAUUCACCCACCCAUCCACCCAUCCAUCCUACUCUCAGGCAUGGGGUCAGCACCUCAUAAAGUUUCUUGAAUGAGUGGGUUCACAUCCACCAAGUGAGGUCACUGACAGGUACCAUCUUAGAGUCAGAGAGCCGCCAUCCUCAGCCUCUGAACCUGCUGGCGCCUCAAUUUUCUCUCAGCUCCAGGACUGCAGGGCUGCAGAAGUAAACCUCGGUUCCUUAGGAAGCAUCCAGCCUGAAGCGCUUUUCUUUCAAAAUGAAGCCACUGAGGGAGGAUGGAGAUGGUGGUGCGUUCACUACUCUUUUAGUGCGCUGUGACAAAAUACCCAAGGGGAGCAAGGGAAGGGAGACACCGUUUAUUCUGGCUCUGGGCUUUACAGGUUUCAGCUCGUUGAUCGACUGUCCUCACUGGUUUAAGAGAGACUGUUCCAGAAGGAUGUGGUGGAGCAGGAGCUCACCUCAGGGCAACCAAUCAGGAAACAAAGACAGAAACAGAAAACAGCUGAGGCAAGGCAGCCCCUAGUUACUCCUUCCUCCAAGUAGGCUCCCCUGCUAAGUCCCCCCCAAUAGCAUUCACAACAAAUGCAAAGUUCAGAGGCCCCCACAAUCCAGUCAUCUUACAAUGUCUGAGAUCCAGGAACCCCAGAUAAUCCAAAAUAUCUGAAUCUACCAGCUGAGGGCCAAGCCCUUAACACAAGAGUCAAAUAAAACCAUAGCGUCGCCCCUGGAGCUGAGGUGAGUGCGAUUGCAUCUUCCCUCUUUUGGAAGCUGAUUAGAGCCCCUUGAGAAGGAUUUCAGGACCUGGCAGAGUCAGGAAGUGUAGGAUUCCCUUAGUGGGGAGGGAGUGCCGCCACUAAUUCUGGGGCCAGCCUUUCUGAACAGCCCACACCUGAGGAGCAAUGGGCUGUGGGGAGUUGUGCUCCCAGAAUUCACAGCAACCUUGGUGAUGUGCUCCUGAAAGAAGACCACCACUGCACAGAGUCACGCCUCUCCUUCCACAAAGGGCCCAGACCUGCACUGACUAUUGAACCUCCCUCCCACCAGGGCAGAGUUCUUCAGGGAAAAAGCGUGACAAAAUGGUGGGUCUCUACCCAGGGUGGGUCAUUGUGUUUACUAUGCAUGGUGACUGAUAAGAGUCUUAUUUUUCGUCCCAACUUAUUCCCAGCAUCUCACAAAGCUUAAGUAGGAUGGAUGGAGGAAGGGAUGGUCUCUCUUGCUUGCCAAUGAAGGGAAAUAACAUGGGGGACAGUUUGUGAGAUGGAACCUUGCUCUCAGCACUGAGAUAGAGAUGGGAAAGAUAGCAGCGUUAAUAACUCUUGAAUAAACGUGUCCACAAAGAGCCUCCAAAUCACCCAGCAUUGCCCUCUUAGGACCAGGGGAGGACACACUAAAUUCAGAAACAGCUUCUUGGAUCAGAACCUUCCAGACACAAACCACUGGAUAGAUGUCUAUUCGUGAGUCAGCUUUCUCUGAACUCCCUGCUCCCAAUACAUACAUACUUCUACAUGAUAGAGAUUUUUCUGAUUUUUUUUUCCUGGAAACUUUGAGAAGCCAAAGCAGGAACCAGAGCCCACGGGUGCCACCUGCAGGAGGCUUGUGGAAUUGACCCGAUAACUGCUUAGAACUGUGGAAAUAAACAUUUCCUUGCAUCCCGCCUUCCUUCCCAGAAUGGCACCAUACACAAGACAUCUUCAAGAGUCUCUAAGGUUAAUUUGGAAUCUUCCUUGGUGUGGAGCCAAAGUGGGAAAUUCAGAAACUUCCCAUCCCCACAGUGCUUAUUGGACUAGGGAUUUUACAGCACAGCCUGAGGUGCUGGAAAGUGGAACCUAAGGCGUGCAUCAGCAGACUAGGUGGACAGAAGGACUGAGCAGCCCAGAGACUGAAAGCCCCAACUGGACCUCCCACCACACACCAGGCAGAGCCUUCAUCUUCCUCCUAAAUCCAGGCCACGUCACUUCUGCUGUGUUGCUUGCCAUUAGCAGCUGCUGCUCUGGACUUGCCAAGACCCCAGGAGUCUGCGUGUUAGGCUAACCACACAUCAUGUCUAAAUACAGAGAAAUGGUUGCCUUUUGUAGAAGUGUGAGGAGUGGAAAGACCCACAUCCCCCAUGUCUCCUUGCAGCUAACAAAUGCAUGACAGUCCUGUUCAGUAAGAAGAUGGGGCGUCCCAGUCUCUUGCGAACUAACUUGUCCCUUUAAAAUCCAGCAAGAAGUUCUUAUCACCACUUAGGCUUGUUUUUAAGUACAGCAGCCAGAGGGCUGCUUUGGGGAAGUUUGACUCACCUACUUUCUUGGUCUGCAAUUAGGAAAAGAUGCCAGCAGGGGGCAGUCUCCAUCCCCUAGCUCUGUGGUCCUCAACCUUCCUAAUGCUGUGACCCUUUAAUAGAGUUCCUUAUGCUGUAGUGAUCCCCAACCAUAAAAUUAUUUCAUUGCU
ensembl:lincRNA E130018O15Rik RIKEN cDNA E130018O15 gene